rnacentral:RNase_P_RNA from 1 species
AAACUGUUCCGAACAAUCGCGCGGCAACAUACCGAAAGGUCUUGCCGUGAGGAAAGUCCGGGCUCCGCAGAGCAGGAUAACGGAUAACGUCCGCCGAAGGCGACUUCAGGGCCAGUGCAACAGAAAUAAACCGCCGCGUGUUUUCGCGGUAAGGAUGGAAAGGCGAGGUAAGAGCUCACCGGCGUGCGGGAGACCGUACGGCCAUGUAAACCCUAUCCGGAGCAACACCGCAUAAGGAGCGUCAAUGCUUGCUCGGCAGCUCCAAAGGUGGCAAGGACGUUUGCGGCAACGUAAACGCAAGAUAGAUGAUUGUUUUUAACAGAACCCGGCUUACAGGGACAGUUUGCCA